rnacentral:tRNA from 1 species
GCCAGGGUGCUGGAAUCGGCAGACAGGCACGGCUUAGGACCGUGUGGGCCAUUGGCUCGUGGAGGUUCAACCCCUCUCCCUGGCA